rnacentral:rRNA from 1 species
UACAGAGGGUGCAAGCGUUAAUCGGAAUUACUGGGCGUAAAGCGUGCGUAGACGGUUAUGUAAGUCGGGUGUGAAAGCCCCGGGCUCAACCUGGGAAUUGCGCUUGAAACUAGCGGGCUUGAGUGUGGCAGAGGGGGGUGGAAUUCCACGUGUAGCAGUGAAAUGCGUAGAGAUGUGGAGGAACACCGAUGGCGAAGGCAGCCCCCUGGGUCAACACUGACGCUCAUGCACGAAAGCGUGGGGAGCAAACAGG